rnacentral:rRNA from 1 species
UUUGGUGGUCAUAAAGUGAUGGCCCGACCCGAUCCCUUCCCGAACUCGGACGUCAAACAUCACAUUGCCGAUGGUAGUGCGGGUAUAGCCCGUGUGAGAGUAGGUCGCCGCCAAAU